AAAUCUCUCCUUAGUAUACGCGUUUUAAAACCGUGAGGCUAACGGCGAUACAUCACGGGCCAAAGCGGACAAUAUCUGUUAGCAGUAGACUUAGGAUGUUACAAUAUCUCUCGACACAACCACAUUCACUCAUCGAUGGAAUC